rnacentral:rRNA from 1 species
GGUUAAGCGACUAAGCGUACACGGUGGAUGCCCUGGCAGUCAGAGGCGAUGAAGGACGUGCUAAUCUGCGAAAAGCGUCGGUAAGGUGAUAUGAACCGUUAUAACCGGCGAUGUCCGAAUGGGGAAACCCAGUGUGUUUCGACACACUAUCAUUAACUGAAUCCAUAGGUUAAUGAGGCGAACCGGGGGAACUGAAACAUCUAAGUACCCCGAGGAAAAGAAAUCAACCGAGAUUCCCCCAGUAGCGGCGAGCGAACGGGGAGGAGCCCAGAGCCUGAAUCAGUGUGUGUGUUAGUGGAAGCGUCUGGAAAGGCGCGCGAUACAGGGUGACAGCCCCGUACACAAAAAUGCACAUGCUGUGAGCUCGAUGAGUAGGGCGGGACACGUGGUAUCCUGUCUGAAUAUGGGGGGACCAUCCUCCAAGGCUAAAUACUCCUGACUGACCGAUAGUGAACCAGUACCGUGAGGGAAAGGCGAAAAGAACCCCGGCGAGGGGAGUGAAAAAGAACCUGAAACCGUGUACGUACAAGCAGUGGGAGCCCUGAUUUAUCAGGGUGACUGCGUACCUUUUGUAUAAUGGGUCAGCGACUUAUAUUCUGUAGCAAGGUUAACCGAAUAGGGGAGCCGGAGGGAAACCGAGUCUUAACUGGGCGUUAAGUUGCAGGGUAUAGACCCGAAACCCGGUGAUCUAGCCAUGGGCAGGUUGAAGGUUGGGUAACACUAACUGGAGGACCGAACCGACUAAUGUUGAAAAAUUAGCGGAUGACUUGUGGCUGGGGGUGAAAGGCCAAUCAAACCGGGAGAUAGCUGGUUCUCCCCGAAAGCUAUUUAGGUAGCGCCUCGUGAAUUCAUCUCCGGGGGUAGAGCACUGUUUCGGCAAGGGGGUCAUCCCGACUUACCAACCCGAUGCAAACUGCGAAUACCGGAGAAUGUUAUCACGGGAGACACACGGCGGGUGCUAACGUCCGUCGUGAAGAGGGAAACAACCCAGACCGCCAGCUAAGGUCCCAAAGUCAUGGUUAAGUGGGAAACGAUGUGGGAAGGCCCAGACAGCCAGGAUGUUGGCUUAGAAGCAGCCAUCAUUUAAAGAGAAAGCGUAAUAGCUCACUGGUCGAGUCGGCCUGCGCGGAAGAUGUAACGGGGCUAAACCAUGCACCGAAGCUGCGGCAGCGACGCUGAUGCGUUGUUGGGUAGGGGAGCGUUCUGUAAGCCUGUGAAGGUGUGCUGUGAGGCAUGCUGGAGGUAUCAGAAGUGCGAAUGCUGACAUAAGUAACGAUAAAGCGGGUGAAAAGCCCGCUCGCCGGAAGACCAAGGGUUCCUGUCCAACGUUAAUCGGGGCAGGGUGAGUCGACCCCUAAGGCGAGGCCGAAAGGCGUAGUCGAUGGGAAACAGGUUAAUAUUCCUGUACUUGGUGUUACUGCGAAGGGGGGACGGAGAAGGCUAUGUUGGCCGGGCGACGGUUGUCCCGGUUUAAGCGUGUAGGCUGGUUUUCCAGGCAAAUCCGGAGAAUCAAGGCUGAGGCGUGAUGACGAGGCACUACGGUGCUGAAGCAACAAAUGCCCUGCUUCCAGGAAAAGCCUCUAAGCAUCAGGUAACAUCAAAUCGUACCCCAAACCGACACAGGUGGUCAGGUAGAGAAUACCAAGGCGCUUGAGAGAACUCGGGUGAAGGAACUAGGCAAAAUGGUGCCGUAACUUCGGGAGAAGGCACGCUGAUAUGUAGGUGAAGCGACUUGCUCGUGGAGCUGAAAUCAGUCGAAGAUACCAGCUGGCUGCAACUGUUUAUUAAAAACACAGCACUGUGCAAACACGAAAGUGGACGUAUACGGUGUGACGCCUGCCCGGUGCCGGAAGGUUAAUUGAUGGGGUCAGCGCAAGCGAAGCUCUUGAUCGAAGCCCCGGUAAACGGCGGCCGUAACUAUAACGGUCCUAAGGUAGCGAAAUUCCUUGUCGGGUAAGUUCCGACCUGCACGAAUGGCGUAAUGAUGGCCAGGCUGUCUCCACCCGAGACUCAGUGAAAUUGAACUCGCUGUGAAGAUGCAGUGUACCCGCGGCAAGACGGAAAGACCCCGUGAACCUUUACUAUAGCUUGACACUGAACACUGGUCCUUGAUGUGUAGGAUAGGUGGGAGGCUUUGAAGUGUGGACGCCAGUCUGCAUGGAGCCGUCCUUGAAAUACCACCCUUUAAUGGCUGGUGUUCUAACGUUGGCCCCUUAUCGGGGUUGCGGACAGUGUCUGGUGGGUAGUUUGACUGGGGCGGUCUCCUCCUAAAGAGUAACGGAGGAGCACGAAGGUUGGCUAAUCCUGGUCGGACAUCAGGAGGUUAGUGCAAUGGCAUAAGCCAGCUUGACUGCGAGCGUGACGGCGCGAGCAGGUGCGAAAGCAGGUCAUAGUGAUCCGGUGGUUCUGAAUGGAAGGGCCAUCGCUCAACGGAUAAAAGGUACUCCGGGGAUAACAGGCUGAUACCGCCCAAGAGUUCAUAUCGACGGCGGUGUUUGGCACCUCGAUGUCGGCUCAUCACAUCCUGGGGCUGAAGUAGGUCCCAAGGGUAUGGCUGUUCGCCAUUUAAAGUGGUACGCGAGCUGGGUUUAGAACGUCGUGAGACAGUUCGGUCCCUAUCUGCCGUGGGCGCUGGAGAACUGAGGGGGGCUGCUCCUAGUACGAGAGGACCGGAGUGGACGCAUCACUGGUGUUCGGGUUGUCAUGCCAAUGGCACUGCCCGGUAGCUAAAUGCGGAAGAGAUAAGUGCUGAAAGCAUCUAAGCACGAAACUUGCCCCGAGAUGAGUUCUCCCUGAGACUUAGAGUCUCCUGAAGGAACGUUGAAGACGACGACGUUGAUAGGCCGGGUGUGUAAGCGCAGCGAUGCGUUGAGCUAACCGGUACUAAUGAACCGUGAGGCUUAACCUU